rnacentral:misc_RNA from 1 species
CAUCCACAAAUGGAUAARACUUCGGUCUUGGUGUGUACGAGUUCGGUUUUUUGAGAAUGAAGGAGCAAUAGCAACCCUUUUCAUAAAAAGUGGAAUUGUUUAUUGCCCCUUCAUUCUUAGUUUAGUAUUCUUUUACUUAGCAUAGGUUUUUUUAUGUUUUAUUUAUGCUUGUUUGUUAAUUCUGUUUGUUUAUUAAUUUGUUUGUAAUAAUAGGAUAACACGGGAAACCUUGCAAUUACACUGCAWUUACAAAAAGCAUUCCUUAAAGGGUAAAGGUUAUUUUAAAGGUUAUUUUACGAUUAAACCAUUAUCCUUUUGUUAUCUAUUUUAAUAGAUAAAAUAGAAAUUUUAUCUAUUUUUCUCAGUCUUUUGCUUUUAGAAAGUUAUUAUUUUCCACUUUACAGUUAAAAUACAACAGUUAAAAUACACAAGAAAGAUUGUAAAUUUCUUUUUUUUUUA